rnacentral:lncRNA from 1 species
CACGCAGAAGCCAGGCUUGCAAAACCUGUGCAGAGUGUUGUCAUGAAAACAAUCAGCGGCGGUUGAGGUCCAUGGUGUUAAUGGAAACUAAAUCACGCACUGUUCCAAAGCCAGGAAGGAAAGAAAAUCUGCCAUAUAGUGCAAUUUAAUCUCUGAAUGUUUAUUUGAAGAACAGUUCAGAACUCAAGCCAAUUUUUGCGCAAACCAUCCUCAAGGUACGAUAUUGUGCGUACAACUAUGGGUGCCUUGGCAUUUGUCGGCAAGCCGCAAAAGUGAUCCAGCACUGUUAGUGUUUUCUUGUUCUGCGCACUAUGCUUUAAGUAAAAAAAUCCAACAUAUUUCUAUGUGUGCGGUCAUGCCUACUAUAAUGUCGAUGACGUCCACACUCAAGCCUUCAAAAGUCACAACAAUGUCUGUGGCUUUGUGCGCAUUGGGGCCACUGAAGGAAAUAGUACAGUUGGCGUCCUGCAACAGGAGAAUUAGACAAAAUCAGCAUCACUUGUGAAACAAAAACUAGU